UACGUAGGGGGGCAAGCGUUGUCCGGAAUCAUUGGGCGUAAAGGGUGUGUAGGUGGCGCCGUAAGUCGGGUGUGAAAUUUCGGAGCUUAACUCCGAAACUGCAUUCGAUACUGCGGUGCUUGAGGACUGGAGAGGAGACUGGAAUUCAUGGUGUAGCAGUGAAAUGCGUAGAGAUCAUGAGGAAGACCAGUGGCGAAGGCGGGUCUCUGGACAGUUCCUGACACUGAGACACGAAGGCCAGGGGAGCAAACGGG
rnacentral:rRNA from 1 species